rnacentral:tRNA from 1 species
AGUUCUAUGGUGUAACUGGCAAUCAUUCCGGGCUUUGGACCCGGAGAUUCCCGUUCGAGACGGGAUAGAACUA